AACUUCGAGCCGUACUUCGAGAAGCGGAAGAAGCUUCUGCCUCGCCCUUCAGACCUCUCCUUUUACAACUGGGACACCCAGAACUCCACGUCCAACGAGAGCCCGAACUUCCAGAUCAACCCCGAUCCUGAGCAGGG
rnacentral:SRP_RNA from 1 species